rnacentral:rRNA from 1 species
UACGUAGGGCGCAAGCGUUGUCCGAAGUUACUGGGCGUAAAGCGCACGUAGGCGGCUUUUCAAGUCGGAUGUGAAAUCCCUCGGCUUAACCAAGGAAGUGCAUCCGAAACUGGAAGGCUUGAGUACUUAAGAGGAUCGCGGAAUUCCCGGUGUAGAGGUGAAAUUCGUAGAUAUCGGGAGGAACACCAGUGGCGAAGGCGGCGAUCUGGGAAGAUACUGACGCUGAGGUGCGAAAGCGUGGGGAGCAAACAGG